GAUGAACGCUGGCGGCGUGCCUAACACAUGCAAGUCGAACGGAGUCGUUUUGGAAAUCUCUUCGGAGAUGGAAUUCUCGACUUAGUGGCGGACGGGUGAGUAACGCGUGAGCAAUCUGCCUUUAAGAGGGGGAUAACAGUCGGAAACGGCUGCUAAUACCGCAUAAAGCAUUAAAUUCGCAUGUUUUUGAUGCCAAAGGAGCAAUCCGCUUUUAGAUGAGCUCGCGUCUGAUUAGCUAGUUGGCGGGGUAACGGCCCACCAAGGCGACGAUCAGUAGCCGGACUGAGAGGUUGAACGGCCACAUUGGGACUGAGACACGGCCCAGACUCCUACGGGAGGCGGCAGUGGGGAAUAGUGCGCAAUGGGGGAAACCCUGACGCAGCAACGCCGCGUGAUUGAAGAAGGCCUUCGGGUUGUAAAGAUCUUUAAUCAGGGACGAAACAAAUGACGGUACCUGAAGAAUAAGCUCCGGCUAACUACGUG
rnacentral:rRNA from 1 species